AGAGACUUAGGCUAAUACAAAACCAAGAGCCUUCAAAGCCCUAAACGAAGGUGAAAAUCCCUCAGUCUCCG
rnacentral:tRNA from 1 species